rnacentral:rRNA from 1 species
GACGAACGCUGGCGGCGUGCUUAACACAUGCAAGUCAAGGAGAAUGGGAAUCUUCGGAAUCCCUAGUAAACUGGCGUAAGGGUGAGUAACGCGUAGGUAACUUGCCCUCGAGUGGGGAAUAACAUCGGGAAACUGGUGAUAAUACCGCAUGACAUUUAGAAAUCGCAUGAUUUCUUGAUUAAAGACUUGUCGCUCGAGGAUGGACCUGCGUUUAUUAGCUUGUGUAGGUAACGCUACCAAGGCGACGAUGAAUAGCUGGUCUGAGAGGAUGAUCAGCCACACUGGCACUGAGACACGGGCCAGACUCCUACGGGAGGCAG